rnacentral:rRNA from 1 species
UACGUAGGGUGCGAGCGUUGUCCGGAAUUACUGGGCGUAAAGAGCUCGUAAGUGGUUUGUCGCGUUGUUCGUGAAAACCGGGGGCUUAACCCUCGGCGUGCGGGCGAUACGGGCAGACUGGAGUACUGCAGGGGAGACUGGAAUUCCUGGUGUAGCGGUGGAAUGCGCAGAUAUCAGGAGGAACACCGGUGGCGAAGGCGGGUCUCUGGGCAGUAACUGACGCUGAGGUGCGAAAGCGUGGGGAGCAAACAGG